rnacentral:lncRNA from 1 species
AGGUUGGGAAAGGAAGUAUGUAUAACCCAGUUUCAACUGGAAGAGAAUAUCUGGUUACCACUUUAGGAUGGUGGUAUUUUAUGUAUUUCUGGAGGUUGAAUUAUAUAGAAAUGCAAAUGAUCGUGUCCUUCUGUAUUUAACCUUUUGAAGAGAUGCAUUACUUCCAUACCUUGUUUCUCUCGAUGCAUCAUGGACCUGGCCAAACUUGAAAAGGGAUUUGCUUUGAUAUCUUCAUGACAUGAAAAGAAGAAUAUAUCCAUUCAGAAUGAUCCAAGAUUCUUUCUUUAUCUCCUUUGUUACUCUUACGAGGUUGUUUUAUGUUAAAAACAAAAAGAAACAUUGUUGAAAAUGAAAUGACUAUAUGAACACUGAUAUUAAAAGGUUAAAUAUCUGCAAUGCAAUUAUGUCUGGUUCAAUAAAUUAACAGAGUUAAAGUUUAUUGGAGAAGUGAAGUUUAUUUGUAGCUGCAUUUUGUCUGCUGAUGCAGAUGGAAAAAAUCUCUCUGUCCGGAGAAGAAAGGGAGCUUUACACAAGAGGAAGAUAUACGGUUAACAGUAGCAGUCAUGCUUUUUGGGCGGAAAUGGAAUCAAAUAGCUAAUUAUGUUCCUGGCCGAAUCCAAUCUCAGUGUAGGGACAGGUACUGUACUGUAUUUUGUUUAAAAUUUUUGGGGACAUAAUUUCCUUAGGGUCUUAGGUUUUUGUUAAAAUUCUUGAAAAUUCUUAUGACAGAUACCUCAAUAGUCUGGAUCCUUCUUUGAAAUGGGGUGGAUGGACUGAGGAAGAGGAUUUAAAAUUAAAAGAUGCAAUUGCCAAGCAUGGAUAUUGCUGGUCUAAGAUUGCUGAAGAACUGCCUCCCCGUACUGAUUCUCAAUGCCGAAAGUAUGAGCUCAAAUUAACUUCAAUGAUGAAAAUCUAAAAUCCUUCAAUCUCUGUAAUCUUACAUGUAUUCUUCUCAUUGAACAGGAGAUGGAAGGUGUUAUGUCCUGAACAAGUUCCUUUGCUCCAAGAAGCAAAAAAGAAGCAAAGGUCUAUUAUUGGUAGUAACUUCGUUGAUCGAGAAUCUGAACGCCCAACCAUUACACUUACCGACUUUCUACCUUUACUUGCGUUAGCUCCAAAAUCUGAUGUUGGUUCUUCAAACAUCAGGAAGAAGCACAAGUCAAGGUACUGCCCUUUAAUCUCCCUUUCAUUUUGCCUUUGUUUCUCAACAUCUUACACGUGUGAUGCCAGGAUUGUUAGGAUUAUUGUUUGAUAGGAUACGACCCCUGUUACAGAGGUUUAUCCGAGAAGAAAUAAGGGAAAUGGGAAUAAGCUAAUUGAUGUAGUUACAAGCAGUUAGGAGCUAGUUACCAUGUCCACGGAGUUAGUUAAGAAUAAGAGAUGUUUGUGUAUAGAUACAUUUUGGGUUUAGAGAAAAGGAGGUAAAAAAUAUAUGUUGGGACUAUACUGGUGCCUCCAAGACCCAGUGUUAUUGUUUCUGUAAGGAACUGUACUUUGUUUGUCUUUAUAAUCCCUGUAAACCUUAUGUUUCUUAAGUUUCUGAUCCAAUUUAUAUAUUUGUUUCAGUAAAUAUGCUGACCAUAUAAUGUUUGAAAUUGAAAAUUGGUUCCGGUAUACCUUUGUAUUUUAAUUCUCGUACCUUGCUUGCAGUAAUGUUUCCAAGAAAAAGAGCUCUAAGAAAGGUGCAAAAAGAACUAAACGUACCAAAGAAGUAGUAGAUACAGAGGUAUAUCACGAUGAUGAGUUCUAC